CUUUCUGCAGGCAAAAUGUGCCCAUCUUUGCAAAGUCAUUUUUAUAGCAUUUGUAGUGUGCAAAGAUGGGCACAUUUUGCCUGCAGAAAGGA